rnacentral:rRNA from 1 species
UACGGAGGGUGCAAGCGUUGUCCGGAUUUAUUGGGUUUAAAGGGUGCGUAGGCGGCCUUAUAAGUCAGUGGUGAAAGCCCACAGCUCAACUGUGGAACUGCCAUUGAUACUGUAAGGCUUGAGUACAGACGAGGUAGGCGGAAUUGAUGGUGUAGCGGUGAAAUGCAUAGAUACCAUCAAGAACACCGAUUGCGUAGGCAGCUUACUAGGCUGUAACUGACGCUGAGGCACGAAAGUGUGGGGAUCAAACAGG